rnacentral:rRNA from 1 species
CCGGGCGUCCCGAAGGGGGCCAUUCACAGGUGCUGCAUGGGCUGUCGUCAGCUCGUGUCCGUGAGAUUGUUGGGUUAAGUCCCGCAACCGAGCCGCCAACCCCUUGCCCUCUAGUUGCCAUCGGGUUGGCCGGGCACUCUAGAGGGACUGCCGGUGACAAGCCGGAGGAAGGUGGGGAUGACGUCAAGUCCUCAUGGCCCUUACGGGCUGGGCUACACACGUGCUACAAUGGUGGUGACAAUGGGCAGCGAAGGGGCGACCCGGAGCAAAUCCCCAAAAGCCAUCUCAGUUGCAGGCUGCAACUCGCCUGCGUGAAGGUGGAAUCGCUAUAAU